GCACUGCCAAGGUGUCCCAUAAUAGGACGAAACGGCCGUCCAGUGC
rfam:Schistosoma mansoni, Puerto Rico, WGS project CABG01000000 data, contig: 0037